ACCCUGGGAAGAGGUGCUGGAAGCAGGCUGCUGCCACGAGAGAUAGUGGCCUCGCGUCCUGGGUUUGCUGCUCAGCGCCAUGAGGGGGAAAUAAGAUGGUAAUUUAAGAUCCGUUUAAGCUGAAAUCACAAACAUUAACUGCCUCAGUGGUAAUCAAACAGCCCACCGCCCCCUAGCUCAGAGCGGAAAUUGCUGGGGAAGCUCAGCCCUUCAAUCUGAAGUGUGGUGGUUUUAUACUCGUUCCUAGAAAAUCCAACUGCCUUCUCAGCUCUGCCAUUUACGUAUCUGCCAUGUUCAUAGGACUCACGGGAAAUGCGGCUUUCAUAGGAACAGUCAACUCAUUCUUUGAUUCUCUGGUUGACUUCGGAAGAGUUAAGGAUCUUCCUUCUUACACACCUUUUCCUUGGGAUACCUUCUGAUGUGUUUGUGUUCUCCAGGGGAAUAUUGCAGUCUGGAGUCCUUGGACUCCUUGCUCAGGCAAAAAUCAUACCACUCACUUACAGUUCAGCUUGGCUGGGGACUUCAGCCCUGUUUCCGAUCAAACACAAACUCACUGAAGAAGGGCUUUCUACUUCAGAAGCUCCAAAUCUUUGCUUCUUGCUCCCAGAGAGCUGAUAAAUUUGUGAUAAGCUUAUUAGGUAUGAGGAUGAAAUCUCCCAGGAAAGAGUCAAUCGUUUUCUAGGGGCUGUGACAUCACUGAAAGCCCUGUCAGAGCAGCUUAUGCAGUCAAUAGCUAGAAAUGUCCUCAUCUAAUUUAUUAGAAGACUUCCUUGAAGUCAGCCCAAAAGCUUGAGCACAGGAAGCAUGGGAUGGGAAGGGACUAAUUUUCUAAUUCCCAGCUUAAUUUACUCACUGCCUGUUCAUUUCCAUUUGUCCCUGUGUAAUACUGUCCCUGGAUGUUCAGAGCUCUCCUUCUGGAAUGUGUCCUGCCUAACAACAGCACCAGAUUCCUCACCA